rnacentral:rRNA from 1 species
CUCGUGCUAGGAUGAACGCUAGCGGCAGGCUUAACACAUGCAAGUCGAGGGGCAGCGGGAUGUAGCAAUACAUUGCCGGCGACCGGCGGAUGGGUGCGUAACGCGUAUGCAACCUACCUUAUACAGGGGAAUAACCUUUCGAAAGGGAGACUAACACCCCAUGGUAUUGAUUUAAGGCAUCUUAGAUUAAUUAAAUAUUUAUAGGUAUAAGAUGGGCAUGCGUAUGAUUAGCUAGUUGGUAAGGUAACGGCUUACCAAGGCGACGAUCAUUAGGGGUUCUGAGAGGAAGGUCCCCCACACUGGUACUGAGACACGGACCAGACUCCUACGGGAGGCAGCAGUGAGGAAUAUUGGUCAAUGGGCGCAAGCCUGAACCAGCCAUGCCGCGUGCAGGAAGACGGCCUUAUGGGUUGUAAACUGCUUUUACAUAAGACUAACCGUAUAUUUGCGAAUAUACCUGAAUGUAUUAUGAGAAUAAGGAUCGGCUAACUCCGUGCCAGCCGCCGC